GAUGAACGCUGGCGGUAUGCUUAACACAUGCAAGUCGAACGGACUCUUCGGAGUUAGUGGCGGACGGGUGGGUAACGCGUGAGAAUCUGGCUUUGGGUUCGGGACAACCACUGUAAACGGUGGCUAAUACCGGAUGUGCCGAGAGGUAAAAGAGAAAUUGCCUGAAGAUGAGCUCGCGUCUGAUUAGCUAGUUGGUGAGGUAAAGGCUCACCAAGGCAGCGAUCAGUAGCUGGUCUGAGAGGAUGAACAGCCACACUGGGACUGAGACACGGCCCAGACGACUACGGGAGGCAGCAGUGGGGAAUUGUCCGCAAAGGGCGAAAGCCUGACGGAGCAAUACCGCGUGAGGGAAGAAGGUUCUUGGGGUGUAAACCUCUUUUCUUAGGGAAGAACAAAAUGACGGUACCUAAGGAAUCAGCACCGGCUAACUCCGUG
rnacentral:rRNA from 1 species